rnacentral:ncRNA from 2 species
CUCUUGUAUAAGCUCAAUAAUUUGGUUUGAGCGUUUCGACCAGGCGACCGUAAAUUGCCCCAGGCUACAAGAG